rnacentral:misc_RNA from 1 species
ACAGACGUUGGUGAUUACAAUGUUAAGUUGCGUGCUAUUCUGAAAUUCCUUGAAGAAGGCAACAAAGUUAAAAUUACUCUACGUUUCCGUGGUCGUGAGAUGGCUCACCAACAAUUGGGUCUUGCUCAAUUACAAAAGAUUGAAGCUGAUGUGGCUGAAAUCGGUGUAGUGGAACAAGCACCAAAAAUGGAAGGCCGUCAAAUGGGUAUGUUACUUGGUCCUAAAAAGAAAAAGUAAAACCGAUUUAGAGAAAAAGCCCUGCACAUGCAGGGCUUUUUUAUAUGUUGAUUGAAGGGAUAUAGGUACAUCCUGAGUUAGUAAAGAGAGGA